rnacentral:rRNA from 1 species
CAGUCGCCGCGGUAAUACGAAGGGGGCUAGCGUUGUUCGGAAUUACUGGGCGUAAAGCGCACGCAGGCGGCUCGAUAAAUUAGAAGUGAAAGCCUUGGGCUUAACCUGAGGAUUGCUUUUAAGACUGUCGAGCUAGAAUCCAGAAGAGGGUAGUGGAAUUCCGAGUGUAGAGGUGAAAUUCGUAGAUAUUCGGAAGAACACCAGUGGCGAAGGCGACUACCUGGUCUGGCAUUGACGCUCAUGUGCGAAAGCGUGGGGAGCAAACAGGAUUAGAUACCCCCGUAGUCCCUGUCUCUUAUAC